UAGAAGAGGUUAGCUCUGGUCUUUCCCAGGAAACAGCAGUUUCACACCAACACCUAGGAUUACUCUGUGUGUUAUAAGUUUGAGAAAAAUAAUAAUCAGAGAAAGUUAUGACUGAAAGGGAAAUAACUUAGAAAAAAACUGGUGGGAAGGAGGUGGUUGAGAACCAUUGACGUAGACUGACUUAGCAGAUCUUCAAACGUGAUUAGGGAAUCCUGCCAUUCCACUGAUGAGAACAGCAUGCUUAGGAUAUUGCUUCUGAGAACAGAGGCAUCCUGUUGUAUGUAGUGGCCACAUAACAGACUGCAAAGAACUGGAACGCAGAGUAAUUUUAAUCCAAAAUGUUCAAAGGACCAAGACAAGUGGCAAGCCAUAUGAUGACUGACCAGAAACGUUAGAAAGAAUGGAAGAUGGUUUCCUGAAGCUUUGCUACUCUGGAGGUGGAAUGAAUUGUGCCAAAUGUCAACUUUUAUGGCUCAAUGAGCCCUUUCCUGAGUCUGUCAACAGUGAACUAAAGAAAUACAAUCUCUGUUUCUCCAGUCAACAGUAGAACAGUGCUUGCACUCCCGAUAUUUAUGGAUAUAUUUAUACAAUUCUCACAAACCUGACACCAAUGGCCUGGGAUCAACGUAGACAAGUGGUAAAGAAAAACAGAAUGAUUCUCUGAAAGGAUGCAUAUUAAAAAAAUAAAAGAUUUGUGUUCUGAAUGGCUUGUUUUGAGAAAAAGAUAUGCUUCAACUGAGAUCUACAUGAUGCAGCAAAUAAAAACAGAGAUGAAUGAAAUGAUAGGAUAGAAGCCUGGCGGACAUCUGGACAGAACUAUGCAAGAGCCUUCCUGAGAAUGGAAGCCACAGGAGGGAAAACGGAACUUGGGAAAGGAAAGAGUAAAGUGGAAUUUCAGUGACAUCAUUUAAAUGCCUGGAUCCAAAAGUGUCUGGACAUUCAAUAUCAAAAUAUUUGCUUCUCACAUCAUAUUUCAGUGAUGUGAGCCAAAUGUUACCUUCCACCACCCUUUUAAGAGUCCACUUGAUUUCAGUGUUCCUUCACUUGCAACCAGAGUUCUCACUGAUAAUUGUCUAUAUGGUGGUUCAUUCCUCCCUCAGUGGUAUAUGACAAUGAAACAAGAAGGUAUGGCAGGUUAAAAGUCAUAGGGUACCACAACAUUACACACUGAGCCACAAAAGCAGCUCAAAGCCAUGGUUUGUGGGGCUCCACCUCUUGCUCUCUGCAAGGCAUUAAUACAUGGUGGGAGAAAAUUAUAAGAUCUAUAUCGUCACAGAACUUGUCAUAUAAUUAUAUUGUUAUUUUAUAUUCAUUUACU